AAAUCACGCUGAAAAGUUGUAAACAAGCCUGACACGUUGGUUCAAAACUGGAUGGAAGUUUGCUUUUAGGGGACGAAAGGAAGUAGAUGUAAAGCGUGAGUGACCAAACAACAAAAGGCAGAUGGCUACGCAGCACCAAUGUUGACACAAACCACUCAGAAGGCAUCACACAAUGGAAGUAACAUGCAUCAGAAAGUCUGUUUCAUUCUUGGAAAGCGGUCAUCUGCCACACAUGAAAGAUCUCAUAAACAAAGCCGAAUGGACCAGCAAAUAAGUGAUCUUGCAUCUGAGCAUACUUAAAAUGAAUUGGAUCCUGUUCACAAGGAUCAAUCAGAAUUUGCCUUUGGAGAUCUCAGGCCCCACUUCCUGUUGAUGAUGGCACUUUUCUUUUCCGUGGGCUUGUGUUCACUCUCCAUCCAACUCUCCAGUGUCUCAACUGUGGAGGUAAAACACAGACAGUCUGACACAGACUCCAGCAAACAGGCAGCUGCUCCCCCUCAAAGCAGAGACUGGAAUGCACUUUCGUUUGGCCCUUUCAUUCAUAAGAAAUAAACCAUGGUCCCGCAUGCUGGGGUUUUAGUGAGAGAAAGGGCUGUCAGCCAUUGAUGUGAUAGGGGGUUGAGUCAGUGGAGGUUGGUGGGUGGGAGAAGGCUUUCAGGAAGGAUUUGGAAAGGCAGACGGGUGUAAAUCUCUCUGCAGACCCAUCAGGUAAACUUACAACUAAUCAUACUCACUUUGUCUGGGCACGUAUUGAUUAUGGUUCAACAUAGCCCUACAGUAUUCUUUUUUGUUUCAGUGAUUGAUGAGAAAAAUGAGAACAAUCAGUUUGUUGUGUAUGGAAUGAGCUCAAGCAAGCGACAGAAGUUAUCAAUGGGCUCGAUGAGAGCAAAGUUUCCAUAACGAAAAGGAGUGGGGGAAGAGCUUGAAAUGUAAGAAAGCUUCUGGGGGCUCGCAGCGGCGCUGAAUGGGGGGCUGGGAAAGCAGGCUCGCAGCACACAACUCCCGACUAGUCAGUGAUCACUCAGGAGGUCUGGAACUCUGACCUCUUACCCCUUAGAGGAGCGGAUGCCACCAUGGUGAAAAUGUGAGAGGUGAGGUAUGCGAGCCCCCUUAGCCCUGGCGGAAACCAUUGCCCCCCCCCACCUGAUGAUGAAUGGGAUGUUAGCAUUGACACAAAUUGGCCCAUAAUAAUGACACAAGGUCGCUAAGCAUACAGGCACAGAGUGACAGACUGCGAAUUACAAAAUGAAAGGCAAGGAGAGGGAUGGAGACAGGCAGAAAAAAAAGUUUUGCAGGGAAAAAAAAAUUAGUUUUCCAAUGCUGAUGGGGGGGAGAGAAUAAUGGCUGAAGGUAUUUGUGGUGGUUUCUUUUUUUCCACUCUUCUGAGCAGUGGGGUGGCAAAAAGGCCGAGAUAGAGAGAGAAGCACACAAAAAUCGCAGGAAGCCACUCGGGUGUGUCUUGUCGAUUGGCUGCUGCGUACACAAUACAGAAAAUAGUAGAAAUGAAUAAAACAAAGUAUACACAUUCCAUGUUUAUUUGGUAAAGUAACCCACUGAGUUGCGAACAAAUGCGACUAUUCACAAAGGUAGCAAAUAUUGCUUGUCAGCAGGAAUCGUUCGGUCGCAAAUGUUCGCCAAAUGGUCCCCUGACGUUCACCACACAUUUGCCUGUACUUUUCUUGUUGAAAGGGAUUUUACCUUGCGA